GUCCUACGGGGGGCAGCAGUGAGGAAUAUUGGUCAAUGGCCGAGAGGCUGAACCAGCCAAGUCGCGUGAGGGAAGAAUGUCCUAUGGAUUGUAAACCUCUUUUGUCAGGGAGCAAAGUCACCCACGUGUGGGUGUUGGAGAGUACCUGAAGAAAAAGCAUCGGCUAACUCCGUGCCAGCAGCCGCGGUAAUACGGAGGAUGCGAGCGUUAUCCGGAUUUAUUGGGUUUAAAGGGUGCGUAGGCGGUUCGAUAAGUUAGAGGUGAAAUCCCGGGGCUCAACUCCGGCACUGCCUCUGAUAC
rnacentral:rRNA from 1 species